GUAGGGAAUAUUGGGCAAUGGGUGCAAGCCUGACCCAGCCAUCCCGCGUGCCGGAUGAAGGCCCUCUGGGUCGUAAACGGCUUUUGACGGUGAAGAACCGAAAGGGUGCGCCCUUUUUUGACGGUAGCCGUUGAAUAAGCACCGGCUAACUCCGUGCCAGCAGCCGCGGUAAUACGGAGGGUGCGAGCGUUGUCCGGAUUUAUUGGGUUUAAAGGGUGCGUAGGCUGAAAGGACAGUCAGCGGUGAAAAGCAGUUGCUCAACAAUUGUCUUGCCGCAGAUACUACCUUUCUUGGAUUGGGAGGAGGUUACCGGAACGGAUGGUGUAGCGGUGAAAUGCAUAGAUAUCAUCCAGAACGCCAAUUGCGAAGGCAGGUAACUGUACCUUAAUCGACGCUGAUGCACGAAAGCAUGGGGAGCAAACAGGAUUAGAAACCCGAGUAGUCC
rnacentral:rRNA from 1 species